GCGGCGGCCGCAGCUGCAGGACACAAUUAAUUAUGCUAAUGGCGCGGGGAGCGGAUGUACUUUUUUCCCCCUUUAUUCCUCUCCCUUUUUUUGGCUGGUCGGUGCGGAGGGAGCCGCCCUGGGCUGGGAUCACAUGAUAUUGUCUUCGCGCCACUUUCGUAAAACCCUUUUUAUUCCAGGGCUCCGCUCGCUCCGAGGUACCGCCACACUGUGUUGAGAAGAGCUUUGCUGUGGGAGCAUCCCUCUGCUGAUGGGCCUUGAGUUGUGCAAAAGUGCUUACAGUGCAGGUAGAGCUCAGCACCUACUGCAGUAUAAGCACUUCUGGCAUGACUGUGGCGAUGCGGCGCCGGAACACAAGAGCGAUGGGAGCGGUGCAGCGCUGCCCUGCUCGUGGUCCUUGUGUUAAGGUGCAUCUAGUGCAGUUAGUGACGUAGCGUAGAAUCUACUGCCCUAAAUGCUCCUUCUGGCACAAGCUGCUGCCUGCACGCCCAGCGCCAUGCGGCCGUCCCUCCGCCUUUGCUCAGCGAUGACCGCUUCUCAGCAUUUCAUUUUGUUUCGCUGAAGGCAAUUGCUCAGGAAGCAGCUGUGUCCUAGCAGUAUCAAAGUGCUCAUAGUGCAGGUAGCUUGGCAUUGGACCUACUGUAAUGUGGGCACUUACAGUACUGUUAGAUAAAGUGCGUCCCAGCUUGGGGCAGCUUCUGGAGAAGAUGCCUUCUGGAGAGGUGCUGCUCACAGUCAGUUUUGCAGGUUUGCAUCCCAGCUUGCUAAAAUUGCUGUGCAAAUCCAUGCAAAACUGACUGUGGUGGUGGUGAAUCAGUGGUGAAUAGUGGGGUUUGAAGCUUUCUUCCCCUCUUCCCGCGAAGAUCUGAAGAUGCCUUGCGCUGGUUCCUCCGUGGGUGGGGAUUUGUUGCAUUACUUGUAGCUGUGUGUAGAGUAUUGCACUUGUCCCGGCCUGUGGAGGAAAGGAGGACUGGUCUUCAGGCUGCGCUGCUUGGUGUUUGCCAGCAUGGUAAGCUUUGUUUUGCUGUUGUCGGGUGGAUCACGAUGCAAUUUUGAUUAGUUUAGUAGGAGAAAAAUUGCACGGUAUCCAUCUGUAAACCGCAAGACCUUCAUCCGCUGACACAGCUUUGUCAGUGGGCAGCUCUCGUGGUGUAACGGCCGACCCAAAGGGAUGGGAAGGAAGAAAGCUCCAGAUCCUGAGGUUUGUCUGCUCUUUAAAAAGGGGAAAACCACCUGGGACAGCUGCAGACAUCCAGGGAAGGCCACUGGGGAGUGCUUCUGUAAUAACAUGGAAAUCACUGUGGUGGGCUUAACCAAUAAAGAGAUUUUAAAGUAAA